AGCAGCCGCGGUAAUUCCAGCUCCAAUAGCGUAUAUUAAAGUUGUUGCAGUUAAAAAGCUCGUAGUUGAAUUUCGGGAUCAGUACGUUGGUCGUGCCUUCGGUAUGUACUGAUGUUACUGGUUCCUACCUUCUGAAGAACCGUUAUGUCAUUAAUUUGGUGUGGCGGGGAAUCAGGACUGUUACUUUGAAAAAAUUAGAGUGUUUAAAGCAGGCAAUCGCUUGAAUACAUUAGCAUGGAAUAAUAAAAUAGGACGGUGGUCCUGUUUUGUUGGUUUCUGAAUCACCGUAAUGAUUAAUAGGGAUAGUUGGGGGCAUUAGUAUUCAAUUGUCAGAGGUGAAAUUCCUGGAUUUAU
rnacentral:rRNA from 1 species